UUGUACAUUGUUCUUGUUCGAUUUAGCUUGUAGUAAUAUCCUUUGGUAUGCUUGACAAAUUCGAAUUUAUUUGGCCAUGAAUGAUAAAUUAUACUUCGAAAUUGGGCUUGAUUAUGAUCUGUGUCUCUCUUUUGUUUUGAGGUUAAAUGGACAAAAAUGAAUUGAUGGAUUGAUGAGUACAACUGCAAGAUUUGGUGCACAUUCAGAGGGAACUGUGGUAACAGAGGAAGAAGCCAAAUUUUUAACUGAUUAUGUGUACCAUACUUUGGCUGCAAAGGCUAGUGGAAAGUUGUGCUCGGAAGCCCCUCCUACAAAGUGUAUCAGAGUGGAAAGUGCCAACAACUUUUAUCUACGGAAUGAAUGAUUGGAUGAACUAUCAAGGUGCAGUGGAAGCGCGGAAAUACAUGAAAUUCCCUUGCAAAAUCAUUCGGGUUCCACAUGUCAAAUCUCUAAACACAUGCAUUUGUUUUCAAAUCUGAGAGGAAAACAAUAGAGAAGA